rnacentral:rRNA from 3 species
GGCGUUAAGUUGCAGGGUAUAGACCCGAAACCCGGUGAUCUAGCCAUGGGCAGGUUGAAGGUUGGGUAACACUAACUGGAGGACCGAACCGACUAAUGUUGAAAAAUUAGCGGAUGACCUGUGGCUGGGGGUGAAAGGCCAAUCAAACCGGGAGAUAGCUGGUUCUCCCCGAAAGCUAUUUAGGUAGCGCCUCGUGAAUUCAUCUCCGGGGGUAGAGCACUGUUUCGGCUAGGGGGCCAUCCCGGCUUACCAACCCGAUGCAAACUGCGAAUACCGGAGAAUGUUAUCACGGGAGACACACGGCGGGUGCUAACGUCCGUCGUGAAGAGGGAAACAACCCAGACCGCCAGCUAAGGUCCCAAAGUCAUGGUUAAGUGGGAAACGAUGUGGGAAGGCCCAGACAGCCAGGAUGUUGGCUUAGAAGCAGCCAUCAUUUAAAGAAAGCGUAAUAGCUCACUGGUCGAGUCGGCCUGCGCGGAAGAUGUAACGGGGCUAAACCAUGCAC